GACGAACGCUGGCGGCGUGCUUAACACAUGCAAGUCGAACGGAAAGGCCCUGCUUGCAGGGUGCUCGAGUGGCGAACGGGUGAGUAACACGUGGGUGAUCUGCCCCCUACUUUGGGAUAAGCCUUGGAAACUGGGUCUAAUACUGGAUAGGACCAUGCUGCAGGUGGUGUGGUGGAAAGAUUAUUUUCGGUAAGGGAUGAGCUCGCGGCCUAUCAGCUUGUUGGUGGGGUAAUGGCCUACCAAGGCGUCGACGGGUAGCCGGCCUGAGAGGGUGGACGGCCACGUUGGGACUGAGAUAGGGCGCAGACUCCUACGGGAGGCAGCAGUGGGGAAUAGUGCAGAAUGGGCGAAAGCCUGAUGCAGCGAAGGGGCGUGGGGGAUGACGGCCUUCGGGUUGGAAACUACUUGCAGCCAUGACGAAGCCCGUGUGGUGACGGGAGUGGUAGAAGAAGCAACGGCUAACUACGUG
rnacentral:rRNA from 1 species